rnacentral:rRNA from 1 species
AUUGAACGCUGGCGGCAUGCCUUACACAUGCAAGUCGAACGGCAGCACGGGAGCAAUCCUGGUGGCGAGUGGCGAACGGGUGAGUAAUGUAUCGGAACGUGCCCAGUUGUGGGGGAUAACUGCUCGAAAGAGCAGCUAAUACCGCAUACGACCUGAGGGUGAAAGCGGGGGAUCGCAAGACCCCGCGCAAUUGGAGCGGCCGAUAUCAGAUUAGGUAGUUGGUGGGGUAAAGGCCCACCAAGCCAACGAUCUGUAGCUGGUCUGAGAGGACGACCAGCCACACUGGGACUGAGACACGGCCCAGACUCCUACGGGAGGCAGCAGUGGGGAAUUUUGGACAAUGGACGCAAGUCUGAUCCAGCCAUGCCGCGUGCGGGAAGAAGGCCUUCGGGUUGUAAACCGCUUUUGUCAGGGAAGAAACGGCUUUCUCUAAUACAGAGGGCUAAUGACGGUACCUGAAGAAUAAGCACCGGCUAACUACGUGCCAGCCGCCGCCGUAAAAC